GUGUUUUAGACUACUAUAGUGUAUCAGGACUAGCUCCAGCAAUUAACAUUAAAAAAGAAAUACUAGAAACACGAAAAUACCAUCAAGUCAAUGGUAUAUGUUCCUCUAUGGAAUAUAUGUGCUUAAAUCAAUUUAUUUUUACGUGGGGACGACAUUCUAGUUCUUCUGGCCUCAUAGUUGACAAUCAAAUUGAAUUGCAAUUGGAGGUCUCAAAGGCACCAACAAGAAUGUUUAGAUCAGAGUCCUCAGCCAUGUUGGAUGGGCAAUAACUGAAUCCUUUAAUCUUUUCCCUCAGUUGAUCUUGUCAUUAUUGAUCCUUAUGUGGGAGAUGUGAGAAAUCUUGGACCAAUCUUCCCCUGUCUCUGGUAGACAACUUUGUUCCAGCAAAGGGCAUUUGUAGAUGAACAGUGAAGAAAGGGAGGAAGGCAGCCCAUCUUUUGGCAUUGAAUGAAGCUUGGGGCAGUUCCAUAUGUCCAGAUCUCUAAGAGAGGUGUGAUGUUCAAGUCCCUUGCAAUCCAAAGAUUUCAGAUUUUGAAGAUCCCCAAUUUUAAGAGUGAAAAGGGUAGAGGGUAAGCCCUCUUCUGGCAUGGACUCAAGAUUAGGACACUUCCAGAUCUUCAAUUCUCUAAGAGAGGUGAGUCUUUGAAGCCCCCUGCAGUCCAGAAAUUUAAGAUUUUCAAGAUUCCAGAGUCUAAGAGAGGUAAGAGUGGAAGGCAGCAACUUAUCCUCUGGAAAGGAUUCCAAAUCUUCAUUUCUUCCAAUACUGAAGCAUUGAAGAGAGUGGGGUAAUUGCGAGUUCCGUUGCUUGCAGGCAGCAAUCAGUUUGUUGCAGCUUUCAAUGUGAAGUGAUCUUAAUUUGAAAGGAAGCCCUUCUACUGGAAAGGACUCAAGUUCUUGGCAAUUAUCUAUCUCCAUAUUCACAAGUGAAGGAAGGAGAGUGUGCAUACACUCAGAUAGUGACUUCAAAUUUGAGCAACCCCAUAACCGCAGGCGUGUCAGAUUUGGGAAUGGUAAUCCUCCUUCAAGGAAAUGUACUAACUUGGAGCAUUCCCCAAUUUCCAAGGAACUGAGGGGUGAAAAAUUCACAAGAAUUCCCUUAGCUGCAAAAACACAUUCCAGAUUUGGACAUCUGCUGAUAUGAAGACUCUUCAACCUGGGGAACACAUCAAUUGGGAAGCACAAGAGUGAGUUGCAAUUAGUCAUUACAAUUUCUUCUAAAUUUGUGGAAAGACAACCUAUUUGCUCCAGUCUCUCUAGUAAGGAAUCUAGGGAGUGGAAUCUGUCAACUCUAAGACUGUAAAGCCCAGAAGUCAAUUUCUGUAACUGCACAUCACGGUAAGAGUCCUUAAACUUCAUUUUA
rnacentral:misc_RNA from 1 species